UACGUAGGGGGCUAGCGUUGUCCGGAAUCAUUGGGCGUAAAGCGCGUGUAGGCGGUUCGGUAAGUCCGCUGUGAAAGUCGGGGGCUCAACCCUCGGAUGCCGGUGGAUACUGUCGGACUAGAGUGCGGAAGAGGCGAGUGGAAUUCCUGGUGUAGCGGUGAAAUGCGCAGAUAUCAGGAGGAACACCAGUGGCGAAGGCGGUGCUCUGGGCCGGAACUGACGCUGAGGAGCGAAAGCGUGGGGAGCAAACAGG
rnacentral:rRNA from 1 species